CGGGAAUUGUGACCGCCACAGAGCAGGGGCGUACAGACUUUUGACUGGUGUUAUGUGCCUACAGUUCAAUUCAUAGCACUUUAUUUGUCCUACACACGACGUUCAUAUUCUUAUGUUGCUAUUCUAUUCCUGUCUUUCUGCUCUAAUAGUAUUUAAAAUAUCUUUGUUUUUCUCUCUGGCGUCCUGCAGGCUGCUUGGUGUCAUACUGCCCCCUUGCGGCGGCCAGAGGAACAACUCGUCUUAGAGUAACGGGCCUUUCAGACCCCUCCAGCUGCGUGCCGGCGGCCGGUGUCCGGGUCGGGAGGGGACAGCGAGGAGCCGAACAUGGACGCGAACCCCGCCGCGUCCCUGUCGCGUCUGUACCGGCGGGACCCGGUGUUCGCGCGCUGCGCGCCGGACCUGAUGCGCGCCUCCGCCGCGGCGAACAAGGACUUCGUCCGGGAGCAGAAGCAGCUCGCAAAGACGCUGAAGAGGCUGGAGCAGCAGCGCCUGACCCGCCUGCGGCAGCUGGACGAGGCCCAGAGGCAGUUCGCCUUCGUCAUGAGGAAGAAACUGCAGCCCAGAGACAUCCGGAUACCAACCACCGAACCCGCCGGGCCUCCUCCGCAGAUGGGGACCCUGACGGCAGAGACCCGUGGAACCGGUGGCGAGUCCGGGCCAAGCAAAACGCCCUGUGGUGAGUCCAGGUUCUUCCCGCAAAAUGUGAAAAGGAAAGAUAUCCCGUGAGUCCUGACGAGCGGUGGUGACCCUGUAACGAUGGUCUUCCAUGAUCUGUAGGGGUGGAGAGCACGCCACUGCCCCGCCGUGUGGCAGAACCCAGGUCGACCUCAGUGUGACCCUGGUCUGACCAGGCAGGCCAUUUCUCUAAUCCUUCCGGAGAACGACCAUGUGAACUGGUGAAGUAGAGAAGAAGAGGAGAAGAACAACAACAACAACCCUGUGAACUGAAGAGAAAGAAAGUGAAGUGAUUGUCAUGGUGAGAUACUGCAGCGCAGCACACGGUGACACAGUGAAACGUGUCCUCUGUAUUUAACCGUCACCCUUGGUGAGCAGUGGGCGGCCAUGACCGGUACCUUGAUCAAUUGGACCUCAGUGGCACCUCUGCGGUUCGGGAUUCGAACCAGCAAACCUUCCAAUUACAGUCUGUUUACUUACCUGCUAGUCCAACACCUGCCCCACCCUGCGCAGGAACACCGAGAACAACACAGAGAAGAAGAGGACGACGCUGCCCUCAUGCCCCAUUCGGCCGGAUCCUGGAAGAUCUCUGCAUUUUGGUAUUAUUCGUGUUUGCGCAUGCAUUCGCCAAUAUCAACGUCUGUACACUCCCUUAGCCUGUGUGUUUUUGUUAAGACCUUUGCUUAAUCUCCUAUUCUUGAUGAUGAGAAUGAAUAUUUUCAUGGCGUUUUAUCCAUAAUCAUCUCCUUUGGAUCAUAAGAAACUGUUUUGCGUAGCGUGACCUAGUGAAACAGGACCUCCAUUUAACCGCAGACAGAUGCUCAAAAAGCGGGGAACAUGUGGACUGGCGUGUGGUUUAUUCUUUCUUUUAUUGUGGAAGAAGGCAGUAAAUGUCUGAUUAAAAAAUAUUUUGAUAAAUAUUUUUUGACUUUUUAUGCGUUUUAAUUAUUAUUUUUUUUAGCUUCAUUGAGUGUUCCUCUUUUAUAAUAAAAUUUGUCACCUUGUUCAAGC
ensembl:lncRNA